CAUGAAGCCUUGUAUUAUCUAGAUCUAGAUAAGUUUACCAGUACUUAUCUAAACUAGUGACAUGAUCACUGUCACUAGAUAGAAAGAAAAUUUUGACUUUCACUCAGUGCU